rnacentral:lncRNA from 1 species
UUACAAGACUCUCAAAUGAGUGUAUUCCAGAGCUGGCUUUUAUACAUAGUUUGCUUACAUUAGCCAUGGUAUAUGCCAUUCAUUACAGUACAGACUAUAAGAUUUAUUACUUCCUUAUAUUACGUUAUUCUGACAAUGGAAAGAUAAGCUUUUGCAUACGUCUGGAAAAGAAUAUCCUUAAAAUCGGAAUGGGCAAGACAUCCUGAAAUUUAGCAUUGUCUUACAUCCUAUAGAAGAAAUACCUUAGUCUGUCACAGUCAGCAUAUUAUGUCGUAUAUUGAGUAUUCAAUAUUCCUUCAGUCAGCAAUAAUCAUGUUAUAAACCUUAUAAAAGCAUAAAAUACAUAUAAACAAGUUAACUAUUUAAUAUUCUUACAUUCCCCUCUUUGAGCAAUAAAACAAUUGCUCAUCUUAUCGAUAAAAUCUUACCAGGACAGAGAAACUUCCACAUGGUAUUUUCAGGGGUGCUAGUCACUCCCUGCGGGACUUUCAUUAAUUUCUUCACCUCGAUUCCCAUGUGGUAAUUUCUAAGGCCCAGUUUAAAGAUGGGUUGAUACUCUACAGUGGCAGAGAGGAGAAUUUCUAAUUGUUUCUGUUCUGCAUUAUGGAUUCAUUUCUGUACUCACUUCCUCAAUGUACAAGUAAGGUGACAGUUAUAUAAAAUCAUACACAAUAAAAUCAGGACUAUAAUAACAAAAUGAUAGAAGAAUGAUUUCAUUAUCUGAGAUCCAGUAGGGGACCAACCAGUGAAGCAUCGUACCAAUGAUGGGCUAAAUCAUUCUGAAUUUGUGAACUCACCUUAAGGAGUUCUCCUUUUAGGAUAUGCGUGGCUACCUGUGUAUGUUAUCUUUGGGAAAAAUAUAGUCCCCUGUGUAUGUGGGUGCCCACCAGGUUAAAUUCUUGGCAAAAAGAUCAUAAACUGGUACUGGUAAUGUGUUAAAUUGACAAGCUAAUUUAACAUCCUUUGAUGAUGUAUGAUAUAAUGUAAAAUAGCAUGAGCAUGAAAAAUGUGAAACAUUACCAGUUAACCAUUCAUUGCAUUUAGUGGAUUGGGGUUUUAGAAGUAACCAUUCAUUAUCUGUGAGGUUACACAUUCCUCUAAUCUUCUCUAGUUUAGGAAUCAUUAGUGUGUUUUCUAAUGCCAAUCCUUGUUGUAUCCAUAAAUACCUGAUGGCACAAGUACUCCAGUUACUUAGACCUGUUGUGAAUUUCAUAGUUGCAACAGUUAAAUUAUCUAAAUAAUUAUACAUUGAUUUAUCUAAAUCCAAUCCUAUAACCUGUGAUUUAACAACAAUUGGAGCCCAAUUUGCACUAGCAUGAAAACCAGUCCCUAUAUGCAUGCUGGCUGUGUUUAACUUAUUCUUGAGGGUCUCCAUAUCUAUAACUAUUUAGUAUACCCAUAGUGGUUCCAGCACCAUCUAACAGUGUGUCAUACCAUUCCCUUUUCUGCCUUUGUUUGUUGUAUUACAUAAUGUUACAACAAGAGUAGUGACUUUUAAUGACACAUGUACAGCUUGUAAGAAGGCAGUUGUAUUAACACAUGUGGACGGAAUAGGUGUGUGUGUGUCGUGUUUGACUUUUGGUUCUAUGAUAGUGGAUGAAGGACAGUAAUAAGGUGUAAAAAUAUAAGGUAGUGUAUAGUUCUCAAUUGCAGUGUCGUUCAUAAUGACUAACAUUUGUCCCCUUUUCCAAUUAAUGAUACCAGUUAUAUAAUCAUUAUUAAAAGUAAUAAGGCCUGUCUGUUUACAUUGAUAUGCAACCUUAACUGUGCACAUUUCUGCGUUAUAAGAUCUAACAAUUUUCUGUGAACCUUUAAACAAACAUAAUGCAUCGGUUUCAUUAGCUGUAGACACAUUUCAUAUGGGUAACUGGUACUUAUAAGGGUUACUAUUUGUCCAAUUCAUCCAAAUGCGUUCAGUGAAUGAAUGAUUGCAUAUUGCAUGCUGAUAGAAAGGUGGUGGAGAAAGGUUCUUGAGGGGGCGUGUGUGACGAAUGCUAGAUGAGGGGCUAAGGCCUAAUUGGGCUGGGGGUAUUGAAGAAUUGUUCAUCAUGUCAGAGUCUUUUUCCAGAACUUGCCAUUGACUUGUACUCAUAAUGGCAUUCAAGGAACAAUAUCAGAGGGAGUAUAACAACUCCAGAAAGCAUAGCACACAACAUAAUCUUGGUCUCAGGUACGUAUGAUCCUCUCAAUCUACGAUAUGGUGUAAAAGCCAUGAUGCUUCGCUGAGGAGAAAUUCUUCUGUUUCCGAGCGAGGAGUGGUGUUGUCUUCCUUGGUUCCCCUCUUUGGACACAGCUUCACUCGGGAUGCGUGAAUCCAGAUGUCGUGGGAAUCUGUGAGGACAGCGGUUCUGGGUACAGCAAUCACAGUAGCAGGUGGUCCAAAAGGGUAUCCUCCUUUCUUGGUCCUGUUCAACUGACGGAUAUACACCUUGUCACCGGGCUGGUAUGAAUGAGUAGGUUCCUGUGAAGGUAAGGGAAAACUGCGAAGAAACAUUGUCAUACAUACCAUUCGGUUUUAUCAACAAUUCCUGUACAUAUUGUUCUUGUAUUAGCUGUAAAUCCCCAGACAUUAUAACAAGCAGUUCCCUGGCCCAGGGUGUGGGAAAAGGUCAUCCCAUCAAAAUCUCAAAUGGAGAUAAUUUAGUCACCUUGUGGGGAUUCAUUCUUAUCUCAGCUAAAAUAGCUGGUAGAUAUCUAGUCCAA